rnacentral:rRNA from 1 species
GACGAACGCUGGCGGCGUGCUUAACACAUGCAAGUCGAACGGUGACGAGGAGCUUGCUCCUCUGAUCAGUGGCGAACGGGUGAGUAACACGUGAGUAUCCUGCCCCAGACUCUGGGAUAACAGUUGGAAACAGCUGCUAAUACCGGAUACGAGACGGAGAGGCAUCUCUACCGUCUGGAAAGUUUUUCGGUCUGGGAUGGACUCGCGGCCUAUCAGCUUGUUGGUGAGGUAAUGGCUCACCAAGGCGACGACGGGUAGCCGGCCUGAGAGGGCGACCGGCCACACUGGGACUGAGACACGGCCCAGACUCCUACGGGAGGCAGCAGUGGGGAAUAUUGCACAAUGGGCAAAGCCUGAUGCAGCGACGCCGCGUGAGGGAUGACGGCC